GAGAGAGACAUGCGCGCAUAUCAAUAAGCGGAGGAAAAGAAACUAACAAGGAUUCCCUUAGUAACGGCGAGUGAAGCGGGAAGAGCUCAAAUUUGAAAUCUUCAAGGUUUUACCUUGACGAAUUGUAGUUUAAAGAAGUGUUUUCUGUUGGAAGUUUUGGUAAAAGUUCUUUGGAAUAGGACAUCAUAGAGGGUGAGAAUCCCGUAUUUGACCAUUAUUUUCAGCUUUGUGAUACACUUUCAAAGAGUCGGAUUGUUUGGGAAUGCAGUCCAAAAUGGGUGGUAAAUUUCAUCUAAAGCUAAAUAUUGGCGAGAGACCGAUAGCGAACAAGUACCGUGAGGGAAAGAUGAAAAGAACUUUGAAAAGAGAGUUAAACAGUACGUGAAAUUGUCAAAAGGGAAGCGUUUGACACCAGUGUUGUUUUCUCGAAAAUCAAUUAAAAAUGGCUCGAUUUUGUAUUGCUUGAGACCUUAAAAGCUCACUGUACAUUUUUCGUGUCUUUUUUAAUGCACUUUUCGUUUAACAAGUCAACAUCAGUUUCUUUUGUUGUAAAAGGGUCAUUGGAAGGUGGCUUUCUUUUCGGAGAAAGUGUUUAUAGCCUUUGGCCUCUGCAAUCGGAGAGACUGAGGUCUGCAGCGUAGACUCUUCGGGGUUAGAUACAUUUGUGCUAAGUUAUAGCUUUUUAUAGACAACUUGUUGACUAUAAUUAGUCUUGUAGCUUACUCGCUUAUGCUAUUUUACCUACGCUUAGGAUGUUGAAGAUGUAGCACAUCAU
rnacentral:rRNA from 1 species